rnacentral:rRNA from 1 species
GACGAACGCUGGCGGCGUGCUUAACACAUGCAAGUCGAACGGAAAGGCCCUGCUUUUGUGCGGUGCUCGAGUGGCGAACGGGUGAGUAACACGUGAGUAACCUGCCCUUGACUUUGGGAUAACUUCAGGAAACUGGGGCUAAUACCGGAUAGGAGCUCCUGCUGCAUGGUGGGGGUUGGAAAGUUUCGGCGGUUGGGGAUGGACUCGCGGCUUAUCAGCUUGUUGGUGGGGUAGUGGCUUACCAAGGCUUUGACGGGUAGCCGGCCUGAGAGGGUGACCGGCCACAUUGGGACUGAGCUACGGCCCAGACUCCUACGGGAGGCAGCAGUGGGGAAUAUUGCACAAUGGGCGGAAGCCUGAUGCAGCAACGCCGCGUGCGGGAUGACGGCCUUCGGGUUGUAAACCGCUUUCGCCUGUGACGAAGCGUGAGUGACGGUAAUGGGUAAAGAAGCACCGGCUAACUACGUG